AGAGUUUGAUCCUGGCUCAGGAUGAACGCUGGCGGUAUGCUUAACACAUGCAAGUCGAACGGGCUCUUCGGAGUUAGUGGCGGACGGGUGAGUAACGCGUGAGAAUCUGGCUUCAGGUUCGGGACAACAGUUGGAAACGGCUGCUAAUACCGGAUGUGCCUUAUGGUGAAAGAUUUAUCACCUGAAGAUGAGCUCGCGUCUGAUUAGCUAGUAGGUGUGGUAAGAGCGCACCUAGGCGACGAUCAGUAGCUGGUCUGAGAGGAUGAUCAGCCACACUGGGACUGAGACACGGCCCAGACUCCUACGGGAGGCAGCAGUGGGGAAUUUUCCGCAAUGGGCGAAAGCCUGACGGAGCAAUACCGCGUGAGGGAGGAAGGCUCUUGGGUUGUAAACCUCUUUUCUCAGGGAAGAAUGAUGACGGUACCUGAGGAAUAAGCAUCGGCUAACUCCGUGCCAGCAGCCGCGGUAAUACGGAGGAUGCAAGCGUUAUCCGGAAUGAUUGGGCGUAAAGCGUCCGCAGGUGGCAAUGUAAGUCUGCUGUCAAAGCGUCUGGCUCAACCAGAUAAAGGCAGUGGAAACUACAUAGCUAGAGUAAGGUAGGGGUAGAGGGAAUUCCUGGUGUAGCGGUGAAAUGCGUAGAGAUCAGGAAGAACACCGGUGGCGAAAGCGCUCUGCUGGACCUUAACUGACACUGAGGGACGAAAGCUAGGGGAGCGAAUGGGAUUAGAUACCCCCGUAGUCC
rnacentral:rRNA from 1 species